UUUGAGUAUGUAUUUGUUAAGCCUUAUAAGAGAAAAGUUUAUUAACUUAAGGAAUUAUAACAAAGAAGUAACACAUAAUAAAUUUCGAUUUAUUUAGUGUGUAUCAAUCGAGUUUCUGACCUAUCAGCUUUUGAUGUUAGGGUAUUGGCCUAACAUGGCUAUGACGGGUAACGGGGAAUUAGAGUUCGAUUCCGGAGAGGGAGCCUGAGAAAUAGCUACCACAUCUAAGGAAGGCAGCAGGCGCGUAAAUUACCCAAUUCUAAAGAAGAGAGGUAGUGACAAGAAAUAACAAUGCAAGGCCAAAUUUUGGUUUUGCAAUUGGAAUGAUGGGAAUUUAAAACCUUCCCAGAAGGCAAUUGGAGGGCAAGUCUGGUGCCAGCAGCCGCGGUAAUUCCAGCUCCAAUAGCGUAUAUUAAAAUUGUUGCAGUUAAAACGCUCGUAGUUGAAUUUCAAGGAAUCAAUAUUUUAAGCAAUGCUUUGUAUAUUUUUAACAAAGUUGUACAUUAAGAAUAAACGCUAUAAGUGUUAUAUUCUUUCUGUUACAUUUUGUUUUAUUAAUAUGCAUAUGCGUUCUUAUUAUAAAAAUGAUUCUUUUUAAAAUUCUCUUGUAUAAUUUUUUAUGCAUGGGAAUUUUGUUACUUUGAGUAAAUUAGAGUGUUCAAAGCAAACAGUUAAAACAGUUUCUGUGUUUGAAUACUACAGCAUGGAAUAACAAAAUUGAACAAGUCAAAAUUUUGUUCUUUUUUCUUAUUUUGGCUUAGUUACGAUUAAUAGGAGUAGCUUGGGGGCAUUUGU
rnacentral:rRNA from 1 species